rnacentral:rRNA from 1 species
CCUACGGGUGGCUGCAGUGGGGAAUAUUGCACAAUGGGGGAAACCCUGAUGCAGCGACGCCGCGUGAGCGAUGAAGUAUUUCGGUAUGUAAAGCUCUAUCAGCAGGGAAGAAAAUGACGGUACCUGACUAAGAAGCCCCGGCUAACUACGUGCCAGCAGCCGCGGUAAUACGUAGGGGGCAAGCGUUAUCCGGAUUUACUGGGUGGAAAGGGAGCGUAGACGGCUUGGCAAGCCAGAUGUGAAAGGCUGGGGGUCAACCUCAGGACUGCAGUUGGAACUGUCAUGCUAGCGUGUCGGAGAGGCAGGUGGAAUGCCUGGUGUAGCGGUGAAAUGCGUAGAUAUUAGGAGGAACCCCAGUGGCGAAGGCGGCCUGCUGGACGAUGACUGACGUUGAGGCUCGAAAGCGUGGGGAGCAAACAGGAUUAGAUACCCGAGUAGUC